GGACUGGGGCACUGAGAUAAACGCUCAUACAAAAACCUAACAGCUAAAAUUUUACACUCAUCCCUUCAUGUGAUUAAGAAAAGGACAAGACAAAAUAUUUCUUAUUGGAAUAUGAGGUUUUUGUUCAAGCAGUGAAUGGAGAUGCAACACUGUGAUACUUUGACUACUGGGGUAAAGGGACUGCAGUCACAGUACAAUCAGAAGCUUCUCAAUCGCCGACUCUGUUCCCUGUGGUGCAGUGCAAAACUGGAUCUGGAA